rnacentral:tRNA from 1 species
GGUUUCAUAGCUCAAGUGGUUAGAGCCUUGGCUUUACUAAAGCCUUGCACUUGCUGGUGUGGGUUUGAAUCCCAUCAAGGCCG